rnacentral:rRNA from 1 species
GUCGGAUUAGCUAGUUGGUGGGGUAAAGGCCUACCAAGGCAACGAUCCGUAGCUGGUCUGAGAGGAUGAUCAGCCACACUGGGACUGAGACACGGCCCAGACUCCUACGGGAGGCAGCAGUGGGGAAUAUUGCACAAUGGGCGAAAGCCUGAUGCAGCCAUGCCGCGUGUG